UACGUAGGGUGCGAGCGUUAAUCGGAAUUACUGGGCGUAAAGGGUGCGCAGGCGGCGUCGCAAGUCAGGCGUGAAAUCCCCGGGCUUAACCUGGGAAUGGCACUUGAAACUACGAUGCUGGAGUAUGGCAGAGGGAGGUGGAAUUCCACGUGUAGCGGUGAAAUGCGUAGAGAUGUGGAGGAACACCGAUGGCGAAGGCAGCCUCCUGGGCCAAUACUGACGCUCAGGCACGAAAGCGUGGGGAGCAAACAGG
rnacentral:rRNA from 1 species